AACGAACGCUGGCGGCGUGCCUAACACAUGCAAGUCGAACGAGAAAGGGGCUUCGGCUCCGAGUAAAGUGGCGCACGGGUGAGUAACACGUGGGUAACCUGCCUCUAAGAUUGGGAUAACUCGUCGAAAGAUGAGCUAAUACCGAAUAAGACCACAGUUCCCGCGGGAACAGGGGUCAAAGGUAGCCUCUGCUUGCAAGCUAUCACUUAGAGAUGGGCCUGCGCACCAUUAGCUAGUUGGUAGGGUAACGGCCUACCAAGGCAAAGAUGGUUAGCUGGUCUGAGAGGAUGAUCAGCCACACUGGAACUGAGAGACGGUCCAGACUCCUACGGGAGGCAGCAGUGGGGAAUAUUGCGCAAUGGGCGAAAGCUUGACGCAGCAACGCCGCGUGAGUGAUGAAGGCCUUCGGGUCGUAAAGCUCUGUCGGGAGGAACGAAUGCUCCUGAGGUUAACAGCCUCGGGAGGUGACGGUACCUUCAAAGGAAGCACCGGCUAACUCUGUG
rnacentral:rRNA from 1 species